GCCUUGGUGGUGGAAUUGGUAGACACGCGGGACUUAAAAUCCCGUGAACAUUGCGUUCGUGCGGGUUCAAGUCCCGCCCGAGGUA
rnacentral:tRNA from 3 species